GCUGCAAGGAAGGGUCAGCCGCUCAGCGGACUAAGCCACCCAGGCACGCCUUUGCUGGCGGCUUCUGAAGGCAGCGAUGGUGGACUGGAAUGGAUUCAAGGCUGAGUUACCGUUUCCUACCCGUGCGAAUGAGGCACUUAGAUUCCUCUCACCUCCGUGAAUGGAGGAGGACAGGGUUUUGGGAAAGAUCCAUUAGAUAAUAUGGGUUAAGAAUGCCUAUAAACCGUGAAGUGCUACGGAGAUUUGAGGUGCUAUGGAAGGGCCCUGGGGAACUGAGUUUGAUUGAGCUGUUUCCGGGCGUCCGGGAUGGAGCUCGAGUUCUUUCCUCCCAUCGAAGACAGGGAAAGAAACAUGGGAACAGCAUGGUAGGCGCGCUUCAACCUGGGAGCGGGCUGGUGACCUUGGGCAAGUCACUGAGCCUCUCUGAGCCUCCAGGCUCUCACGCACGCAGUGGUGGUAACCGUGACGUGUCAGCGCGGGGCCGCUGGGAGAAUGCAGCAAGCUGGUGGAGUGCUUUGCACUGUCCUGGCCUUAGCAUCACCGUUACCCUAGUGAAUCCUCACGACCUUCCUGCUUUAUAGUCGAGGGAACAGACUGUGAUUAAGUGACUUGCCCAAGGUCACCAGCUGGUAGGGGCUAAGUGACACUCAGUUCAUGUCUGUGGACCCUGAAGCCUGUGUCCUUUCCACGGCAGCGCAUGGCCUCUGCCCACAGCCCGGGUGCCUGGGCUCUCUGAGCCUCUCCUUGCCACGUCUAACCGGCCUGAGUUGUCCUAGGGCGCAGUUGUCCCAUGGCAUCUUCAGGACCAGAGAACUAGCGCUCCGUGGCUCUCUCUCCCUCCUGCCUUUCAGGCUUCCAGAGAGGAAAGAAGCCGACGUGGGCUGCUCUGCUUGCGCCACCCGAAGUCAGCUUCUCCACCAACAUCCCAGCUUCUUCCCACGGCAGCCAGCGCCUAGAGCUUCCACGUGGAGUCCCUGUCGGCAGAGGCCAGGGAACUCAGGACCAGGUCCCCAGCUGUGCAGAUCACGCCAAGCCGAAAGCGGCUUGCUCAGGCCAACACCUGGGUUUGCACCCUGGCCCUGCCUCUGACCAUCUCUGUGACCAGGGACCGCCGCCAGCCUCCAUGUCCUCACUCGUUACACCCCGUGGUGAUAGUACAUAAUCUCUACUUCCCAGGGUUGUCCCGGGGCACCGAGUGGGGCCCGGCUAACAGUCCGCACCCCGUCAACAACAGGUUUCGUUACUGGGCUGAUCUGCAAGGGGUGUGGCCCAGGCGGCGGCUCUGUGGAGGACGCCUGUGGACACAUCCUGGGAACCCCAUGGCAUCCCCCGUGAUUCCCGGAUUCUACUCCGGUGGGCCCCGAAGUGGAAACACGAGCUUAUCCCAGACAGCCUUCUCAGAGCAGCUCCUGCAAGCUGUGUGUCCCCCGGCCCAGUGCGCCCCCGGCCCGCUGCCCAUCCCCACAGCACUGAUGGCAGGCCAACCUGCUUCCCGCAUGUGUGUGUCCACCCUCGCCCAGCCCAACGGGGGCUCCUACAGAAGGGGCUGAAGAGUUGGCUUUCCGGACACACUGGGAUGUCAGCCAGGCUUGUGAGGACUCCUGGGACAGCCUCCCCUCCCUCCUGCACGGGCAGAACCUGGGUCUGUCUUCCUAGUCCCUGGCUCUGUGCCCAGCCUGUACAGGUUUAAUAAAUGUGUGUAGACAAGAACUGAGUUCA
ensembl:lncRNA